AUAUAUAUAUAUAUAUAUAUAUAAGUUCCAUAAUGAUUUUGGUUGAUAUAUAUUUUUUGUUAUUAAAAAAGUUCCAUAAUGACUUUGGUUGAUAUAUAUAUAUAUAUAUAUAUAUAUAUAUCUUGUUAUUAAAAAGUUCCAUUAUUCUACAACUAACAAAAUUGUAUCUAAAAUUGUAUCUCGUCGAUUGAUCACAAACUCGCAGUGGCCUCAUUUGAUAACCUCAUUUGAUAACGAGACCGAGUAUCUUUUUUUUUUAAGAAAAAUUAUCAAUUAUAUACAAUUACUAAAAAGUUUUUACAUCAUAUGUAUACUAUUACCCACUUACUAGUUCCUAAUAGUUACUAAUUUAAUCCCGCUUAAGAAGUCCUCGGCCAACUUGCAUUAAUAUUUGCUACAAAUACAUACAUGGUUAGUUGAUAGUAAUACAUACUUGUAUAGUAAUUAUUUUUAUUAGUACUUGUACUAGUAACUAUUAUUACAGAAAAUUGUAUUUGUAACUAUCACUUUUUUUAACAUCUGACUUUGUAACUAUCACUUUAUCACAUGUGAUUAUAUAAAACUAAAAUAGAUUAAACAAAACAAGUUAACAAAUAAUAAUCAAAACAUAAGCAAAAUAUAAGCAAUAUAAGAGACAAGUGAUAAAAUGUUCAAUUGUACGUUAAAAUUUGAGAUAUUAAAACAAAAAUAUGAUUAUUAAAUGUGAAUUCAACUAACUAAUAAGAUGUAACAAUACAAAAAUGAAACAACUGUUGUAUUCUAAUUAUGCCAAAUUGAGGCACGAAAACCGAUUGGAAAAUUAAACAUUUUUUUCAAUCUUGCCAUGAGAAGAGCAAUAAAAAGAGUAUCAAUGAAGUGUGUUCUACAUAGUGGUUUUAUUGCAAUGUUAUAUGGAUACCUCAUUGAUCCAGUGGAUUGGGUUCCAUGGAAUAGCGGCUUUGGACGUUUGUCUAUUUUGGAUUAUGAUGAAUGCAAAAACAAAGGCUCAUGAACAAAUACAAGCAACAUAGGGAAGUAGAUGUGGUUUUUGUGGAUCUAAAGAAAACGGCGAAUUUCACAAUAAAAACAUAUAAAUAGAGAUUUGUGGCUUGGUUCCACCGGAGUUCCGUACGAAAGUGGACUGUGAUAAUAUUGUGAACAAUAUACUAACAUAUAACAUAAGAUACUUUAAGAAAAAAUAUUUACGAAUUCUUAAGCAAAAUAUAUUUGAACAAUUUUUUCCACCAUUGAAGCCUCCGAUACAAAGUUUCGUCUUCCAUGAGAGUCUUCCAUAUCUAAUUCGUUUGAAAUACUCGUAGAUGGUGAAUAUCAUUUUUCUUGUCGAAUUAACAAAUACAGAUUCUUCAAAACCCAUACAAUCACAUGUUAUGGUAAGGUUUAAACACAUUAGGCCUUGAGGUUUAAGAUAAUACAACAUUCCAUAAAUUCAAUUUGGGCCUUGACUUUAAGAUACUACAAACCCAUUACAUCAGACAACAUCUACGAUAAAGUUAAAUCCAAAUUAUAAAGAGCAAUAUAGGAAAGAAAGACUAUGUUCUGACUACAUCUCGUAAAGUUAACAUGUCUCCAACACUCCACUCAAGUUGGAACAUAUGUAGAUUGCAAAUGCAUAACAUGUCCAAUCCAAGUUAAAAUAAGCACUGUCAUUUUUACUUUUAUGGGCCUGUGAUUGGGCCUUGUAAUGGGCUUGAAAAUUAAUAAAUGG
rnacentral:sRNA from 1 species